rnacentral:rRNA from 1 species
UACGUAGGUGGCAAGCGUUUACUCGGAAUCACUAGGCGUAAAGCGCAGGUAGGCGGUUCGGUAAGUCUCUUGUGAAAGCUCCCGGCUCAACUGGGAGAGGUCAAGGGAAACUGCCGGGCUAGAGUGCGGCAGAGGAAGCUGGAAUUCCCGGUGUAGCGGUGAAAUGCGUAGAGAUCGGGAGGAACACCGGUGGCGAAGGCGGCAUCCUGGACCGGCAUUGACGCUGAGGCGCGGAAAGCUAGGGGAGCAAACAGGG